rnacentral:rRNA from 1 species
ACUCCUGCGGGAGGCAGCAGUGGGGAAUAUUGGACAAUGGGCGCAAGCCUGAUCCAGCCAUGCCGCGUGAGUGAUGAAGGCCCUAGGGUUGUAAAGCUCUUUCACCGGUGAAGAUAAUGACGGUAACCGGAGAAGAAGCCCCGGCUAACUUCGUGCCAGCAGCCGCGGUAAUACGAAGGGGGCUAGCGUUGUUCGGAUUUACUGGGCGUAAAGCGCACGUAGGCGGACUAUUAAGUCAGGGGUGAAAUCCCGGGGCUCAACCCCGGAACUGCCUUUGAUACUGUUAGUCUUGAGUUCGAGAGAGGUGAGUGGAAUUCCGAGUGUAGAGGUGAAAUUCGUAGAUAUUCGGAGGAACACCAGUGGCGAAGGCGGCUCACUGGCUCGAUACUGACGCUGAGGUGCGAAAGCGUGGGGAGCAAACAGGAUUAGAAACCCCAGUAGUCC